CCUACGGGAGGCAGCAGUGAGGAAUAUUGGUCAAUGGCCGGAAGGCUGAACCAGCCAUGCCGCGUGAAGGUCAGUGCCCUAUGGGCGUUAAACUUCUUUUGUGCGGGAGCAAUAAUGGUCACGUGUGGCCAGACGAGAGUACCGUACGAAUAAGCAUCGGCUAACUCCGUGCCAGCAGCCGCGGUAAUACGGGGGAUGCAAGCGUUAUCCGGAUUUAUUGGGUUUAAAGGGUGCGUAGGCUGUGAGGUAAGUCAGCGGUGAAAUGCCCCCGCUCAACGGGGUGAAGUGCCAUUGAUACUGCCUGGCUGGAAUGCGGAUGCCGUGGGAGGAAUGUGUGGUGUAGCGGUGAAAUGUAUAGAUAUCACACAGAACACCGAUUGCGAAGGCAUCUCACGAAUCCGCGAUUGACGCUGAUGCACGAAAGCGUGGGUAUCAAACAGGAUUAGAUACCCGAGUAGUC
rnacentral:rRNA from 1 species